CAGCUCAGUGGGAGAGCAUCUUCUUGGCAUGCAGAAGAUCCCUAGUUCAAUCCCUGGCAUUGA
rnacentral:tRNA from 1 species